AACGAACGCUGGCGGCAUGCCUAACACAUGCAAGUCGAACGAGACCUUCGGGUCUAGUGGCGAACGGGUGCGUAACGCGUGGGAACCUGCCCUUAGGUUCGGAAUAACUCCCCGAAAGGGGUGCUAAUACCGGAUAAUGUCUUCGGACCAAAGAUUUAUCGCCUUUGGAUGGGCCCGCGUUGGAUUAGCUAGUUGGUAGGGUAAAAGCCUACCAAGGCGACGAUCCAUAGCUGGUCUGAGAGGAUGAUCAGCCACACUGGGACUGAGACACGGCCCAGACUCCUACGGGAGGCAGCAGUGGGGAAUAUUGGACAAUGGGCGAAAGCCUGAUCCAGCAAUGCCGCGUGAGUGAUGAAGGCCUUAGGGUUGUAAAGCUCUUUUACCCGGGAUGAUAAUGACAGUACCGGGAGAAUAAGCUCCGGCUAACUCCGUA
rnacentral:rRNA from 1 species